rnacentral:lncRNA from 1 species
UUGAGUAAUUAAAGAUAUUUCACAUCAAAUUCUGAUUUAUUUAUCAUAUAACAGGUAAGAUAUAAUGCAUAUUUUAUUCUUAGUAGAAGCCGAGGAACCGGGCUAAGUGCAAACUGCAGAUACAGUGAAAGUUUUAAAUGUUUCUAGUCUGAGAUCGCUAUUCUAUUCUUCCAUAAACUUUAUGACUUAUGUCAAGAAAAUCCGGAUUUCAUUUGGCAUGAGCAUGAAAAAGCACUAUAAUUUAAAUUUAUUCUAUGGCAAAAAUAAAGAAUACGUAUACUGGGUGUUUAAAGUUAGGUUUAGGGUUAGGAUUAGGUUUAGCAUUUUUGUUAGGCCUUAACGGGUGGUGUACGUAUUCUUUACCUCAAAUUCUUUGAUAACAAUAGAUAUUGUACAAAUGAUAUUGUAAUGAGUGGUCAGUCUACACCUAUCCAUCACUACAGGUUUAUAGCUUUAAGUUUAUAGUGUGUGUGUGUGUGCAUAUACACACACACAUACAUACAUACACACAUACACAGACAUACAUACACACACACACAAACACACAUGCAUACAUACAUGCGUACAUACAUGCGUGCAUACAUACAUACACACAUACAUACAUACAAACAUACAUAUAUAGACAUACAUAGACAUACAUACAUACACACACACACACAUACAUACAUACAUGCGUACAUACAUGGAUACACACAUACAUACGUAUAUAUAUAUAUAACGAACUAACUUACUUACUCAGAUGCAGCACGGAUUUUUGUUAGUGAACAGGUCGCGAUCUUAAAGCGACGAAAAUAUUUCGACAAAUUAAACUUAAAUGUUGAAGUGAAUCGAACGUCUUUUGUGUGUUUCUUAAAUGGCUUACAAACAACUUCCACGCUGCAAUUAUUUUCGCUUCAGCACACGAUCUAGGAUCAGAUCACUUGCUAUGCAAGUAUAUCUCCGUAAUAGAUAGUCUAUUUGCUGUUUGUGUCCACCCAAAGCCGUCUAUUGUUUUAUCAUUUGCUACAUAUCUCUAUUUGCUGUUUAUUUUGUUAAAAGGAUUCACGUUUAUAGUUAUGUACACUUUAAGCUCCUGAGAAUAGAUAAUUAUCUACAACAUAAAAUACAAAUAUCCGACUGAGACAUGUGACUAAUGACACCGCUAUUAUACAAGAUAUAUUUCUUUACUACCCACAAGGGGCUAAACAUAGAGGGGACAAACAAAGGGAUUAAGUCGAUUAUAUCGACCCCAGUGCGUAACUGGUACUUAAUUUAUCAACCCCGAAAGGAUGAAAGGCAAAGUCGACCUCGGCGGAAUUUGAACUCAGAACAUAGCAGCAGACGAAAUACCUAUUUCUUUAUUACCCACAAGGGGCUAAAUACAGAGGGGGACAAACGGAUUAAGUCGAUUACAUCAACCCCAGUGCGUAACUGGUACUUAAUUUAUAGACCACGAAAGGAUGAAAGGCAAAGUCGACCUCGGCGGAAUUUGAACUCAGAACAUAGCAGCAGACAGAAAUACCUAUUUCUUUACUACCCACAAGGGGCUAAAUACAGAGUGUGACAAACGGAUUAAGUCGAUUACAUCAACCCCAGUGCGUAACUGGUACUUAAUUUAUAGACCACGAAAGGAUGAAAGGCAAAGUCGACCUCGGCGGAAUUUGAACCCAGAACGUAACGGCAAACAAAAUACAGCUACGCAUUUCGCCCGGCGUGCUAACGACUCUGCCAGCUUGCAUACACGAUAGAUUUGACUACACAGACUCAGCAACAGCAAAUAGAAAUAUGUUGCAAAUGAUAAAACAAUAGAUGGCUUUGAGUGGACAGAAUCAGAAAAUAGAAUAUCUACUGCAGUGGUUUUCAACAAGGGUUCCGCCAGUACAGUCCAGGGGUUCCGCAAGAAGUUACAAAACUGCUAAAAUCGACAGUAAUUUUUUAUUCUCCUGUGUAGAUAUGUGUGCAUAAGACAAUUAAAUUAUUGCACUGGGGUUCCUCGAGCCAGUGGAAUGUUUCCUUGGGGCUCCGCUCCAGCAAAAAGGUUGAAAAGCACUGAUCUACUGUAAUCAAAGAAGCGGAGGUAAAGAAUACGUACACCACCCGUUAAGGCCUAACAAAAAUGCUAACCUAAACCCUAAACCUAAACCUAUCUUUACAUAUUCUUUACUUUCGUCAUAGAAGAAAUUUAAAAUGUAGUGCAUUUUCAUGGCCAUGCUAAAUCAAAACUGGAAAAGAAAGAAAAAAGAAUUAAUAUCGAAAACGUAUUUGUGAUCUACACUUUCAAAACGUGUGACUGCAAUAUUUCUUUAAAAGAUAUAUAUAUGUAAGAAAUAUUAAAUUUCUAAAUCUCUCGUAGAGAUAUGUACGGUGGUGGGGCGAUAGAAUGGUUGUCUACUGUCAAUCUAACAUGAACGUGACAGUAGGGGGGUACACCACCGCUGUUUAGCCCUAGGAAGCAUCAACGCCUCCUGAUGGCUUUGACACAUUUUUCCUGUGUCCUUAUAUACAUUUACGAAGGGUCAGCUGUUGAUAUCUGCCUCGACUCGCAAUGUAUAUAUCUGAAAUUAGAUAUCCUGAAACACGCGUGUCUCUAGAUGCAGUCCCGGCUGCUGGGGCUGUUUGUCUCCCCUUCGUAAAUGUAUAUAAGGACACAGGAAAAAUGUGUCAAAGCCAUCAGGAGGCGUCAAUGCUUCCUAGGGCUAAACAGCAGUGGUGUAACCCCCUACUGUCACGUUCAUGUUAGAUUGACAGUAGACAACCAUUCUAUAUACUCUUUUACUUGUUUCAGUCAUUUGACUGCGGCCAUGCUGGAGCACCGCCUUUAGUCGAGCAAAUCGACCCCGGGACUUAUUCUUCGUAAGCCCAGUACUUAUUCUAUCGGUCUCUUUUGCCGAACCGCUAAGUGACGGGGACGUAAACACACCAGCAUCGGUUGUCAAGCAAUGCUAGGGGGACAAACACAGACACACAAACACACACAUACAUAUAUAUAUAUAUACAUAUAUACGACAGGCUUCUUUCAGUUUCCGUCUACCAAAUCCACUCACAAGGCAUUGGUCGGCCCGGGGCUAUAGCAGAAGAAGACACUUGCCCAAGAUGCUACGCAGUGGGACUGAACCCGGAACCAUGUGGUUGGUUAGCAAGCUACUUACCACACAGCCACUACGAAAGUUACAAAACGAAAAGUGUAUUGGAUUGGUGACUGAAGUGUAGUUAUGUUUGUUUGAUCUGUUAUACAUGUCGUAACAGUCAUGAACACAGCCUAAUUUCAUUAAUAGGUUUGCUCACUCAGAUAUGGCCUUGGGCUAAACAACGACUUCUGACGUUUCCUAAGAUAGUACAUUAUGGUCCAAUAUUUUGUUCAAUAUUUUCCUAAUAUCUGAAAGCAGAGGAUCCGAAGUCUUGUAUAUGUAGACAUUACACAAGGUUGUAUAAUAUAAUUUCUCUUUUACUUGUUUCAGUCAUGUGACUGUGACCAUGCUGGAGCACCGCCAGGACUUAUUCUUUGUAUGCCUAGUACUUAUUCUAUCGGUCUCUUUGCCGAACCGCUAAGUUACGGGGACGUAAACACACCAGCAUUGGUUGUCAAGCGAUGUUGGGGGGACAAACAGACACACAAACGUACACGCAUACACACACACACAAAUAUAUAUAUAUAUUUAUACAUAUAUAUAUAUAUAUAUAUAUAUAUAUAUAUAUAUACAUAUAUAUGUGUGUGUGUGUGUGUGUGUAUAUAUACGAUGGUCUUCUUUCAGUUUCCGUCUACCAAAUCCACUCACAAGGCUUUGGUCGGCCCGAGCUAUAAGUAGAAGACACUUGCCCAAGGUGUCACGCAGUGGAACUGAACCCGGAACCAUGUGGUUGGUAAGCAAGCUAUUUACCACCACACAGCCACUUGAACUCUCAUUAUUCAGGUAACAGUUUAUCCAUAGUUUAUCAUUGUAAAAAAUCUAAUACCUUUAUAGUUGAAUCUUUGCUUUUUAAGUAUUUCCUAUAUCUUCUACUGUUUCUGUAUCGUUUCAGAAUAUCAGAUGUCAGUGGCAUAAAAAUGUUCUUACUCCAGAUACAUUAUGAAUAUUGAUCAUCUUUUGAACACAAGAGGAAGAUGUUAUAAAUGACAUAUAUCACCGUGAUCACCGUGACCGACCAGGCCAUCAGAUGUUGUUACACAUCGCUGGUCACAAUGCGUUCGCAUUGUUUUAGCCUUCAAAUGACGCCACCCCGCUGGCUAAGCAAGCAGGCCAACUGAAGAAAGAGUGAGAGAAAGAGUGGUGAAAGAGUACAGCAGGGAUCACCACCCCCUGCCGGAGCCUCGUGGAGCUUUUAGGUGUUUUCGCUCAAUAAACACACACAACGCCCGGUCUGGGAAUCUGAACCACAACCCUACGACCGCGAGUCCGCUGCCCUAACCACUGGGCCAUUGUGCCUCCACAUAAAUGACAAAUAUAACCCUGUUUAUAUAAUACUAGCAGUAUGGCCCAGCGUUGCUCGGGUUUGUAAGGGAAAUAACUAUAUAAGCAUUUUUAGAGAGUUAUAGCCAAAAAAUAGCAAAAAAGUGCAUUAAAAAUGGA